CUGCGUACGCAGCAGAAUUGUCCCUCGGCAGCCGCCAUUGUGCUAAUGGGCGCGUUGCCGUGGAGACGGACUGGGCAAGACGGAGUAAGCUGGGGUGGGUCGGUCGAUUGUGCUUCUGACUGAUCCAGGAGUGAUCGCGAAGCUGGUAACCUGGUAAGUCCGAGCGGGACUGCACCGAGCGCAGAACGGGAACCGAGAUUUCUCCGAAGACCAGAGUAGCCGAUUCCUCCCCUCGAGGAGAAACCGUUGUUAUGGAAACCAGAUUGCUGGGCGGGCGGGGUUUGCGGCCCCGGGAUCGGAACUGGUCUCUCCCUGAGACUCUUGCCUGGGGAUAAUCGGUGCAGCUUCUUCAUGAACGAACGCCUUCGCACUCCUACUGGAGAGAGGAUCUAGCUAAAUUGCUGAGACCAGCCUUGAAUUUGCAGUCCUCCUGCUACAGCCUUCUCAGUUGCUGAGAUUACAGACUAUACCACCACGCCUAGAUCACAACAUCCUUUUAAGUUUUCCAUGGACACAGCUUAGCAGAAAAAUGCAGGCCUCAUGUGCCACCAACUUCUGACACACCGCCUUGAUGACAGCACCCCUGUGUACCUUCCCAGUUCAGUUCCGACAGCCCUCAAUCAGCGGCCUCUCACAGAUCACCAGAAGCCUGUACAUCAGCAAUGGUGUGGCUGCCAACAACAAGCUCUUGCUGUCCAGCAACCAGAUCUCUUCAGUCAUAAACGUCUCAGUAGAGGUGGUAAAUACCUUCUAUGAGGAUAUACAGUACACACAGGUGCCUGUGGCCGAUGCACCUAUCUCAAAGCUCUAUGACUUCUUUGACCCCAUCGCUGACCACAUCCACAGUGUGGAAAUGAAACAGGGCCGUACAUUGCUACACUGUGCCGCUGGUGUCAGCCGCUCAGCCACUUUGUGCCUUGCCUACCUCAUGAAGUACCAUGCCAUGUCCCUGCUGGAUGCCCACACAUGGACCAAGUCAUGCCGGCCCAUCAUCCGACCCAACAAUGGCUUUUGGGAGCAACUCAUCCACUAUGAGUUCCAGCUGUUUGGCAAGAAUACUAUACACAUGGUCAGCUCCCCAGUGGGAAUGAUCCCUGACAUCUAUGAGAAGGAGUGGCCUAAGUCAAGUUCCUGCCUGGGGCCAAGUUGAAGUCCCACUGCCCAUUUGGAGGUGUUUUGGAAGAUCUUUGUCCCCAAUUCCAAUCCAAUAAAGAGGACACAGUUUUGAGAAAAAGAAAAAAGAAGUUUUAUUGCUUUGCUAACAAAGGAAAAAUGCAGGAACUCUGUGAUUCUGCUCAUCAUGGGGAACAGGUCCAGAUAACAUUGAAGAUUCAUUUUUUCAAGAAAUGUUUACUGAGGACCAUAUUUCUUUUCUGCUUACAACCUUUCAUGGCUCCCUGUGAAGUGGCCCUCAGUUAAGUAUUUUGUACUAUUUCAAGAAAGCAUUUGCAACUGAGCAGGAACGGUGAGAUGGUGGAAUUUCUGGCAUCCCUGGGAUUACUUGGGGGGGCAAAGAAGGGAGUAAGAAGAGUCCUCAUUUGCUCUAGCCUCCUAGAAUGACAAUCCAAGGGCCACCAGGGGAGGGCAGGAAGGGCACCCUGGCAGCUGAGCAUGAGACAAGGCUUUGUUCCCAAAUCCACAGUGGCAGGAUGCCCAGAAAGGCCUCAACUUCCCAGGCUUCCUCCAAGGUGGGGCCAGAGUGGAGGCUGGGACAUCCACAAUACUCUGCCCUGGGAAGAAGCAUGCCCUUGGGGCUCUCAGUAUGCAAUGGAAGUCAAAGAGAUAGGAGAGAUAGCCCAAGGAGCUUUUCAGAGGAACUGGGAAACAUCUGACUUGAGUGAGUUUGCUAACAAUGAUUGAGGAUCUAUGUUUUAGGCACUAUCCUUAAGCCCCGGAGAGUCCUUGCCUGUCACAUAGUUGCACAUGCCCAACUCCAGAAUUUGAACCCACGAUUGACUUAAGAACCCCUUGACUAGUAUAGUAGCCCCCAUCUCUUAUCUACAAUUUCACUUUCCAUUAUUUCUGUUAUCCACUGUCAAUAGCAGUCUGAAAAUAUUAAAUGGAAAAUUCCAGAAAUAAACAAUUUGUAAGCUUUAAAUUAUAUUCUGUUCUGAGUAACAAGAUGAAAUCUCACAUUGUCCUACUUCUACUUACCCCAGAUGUAAAUCAUCCCUUUGCCCAAUGUUUCCUCACAGUACCUGCUACUCACUUGUUAACCACUUAGUAGGUGUCUCGUUCAUCAUGGUUAUUAGAUCGACCUUGGUAUCACAGUGCUUGUAUUCAAAUAACCCUUAUUUUACUUAAUGAUACCCUAAAGCACAAAAAUAGUGAUGCUAGCAAUUUGAAUAUGACAGAGAGAAU